AUAUUGGACAAUGGGCGAAAGCCUGAUCCAGCGACGCCGCGUGUGUGAAGAAGGCCUGCGGGUUGUAAAGCACUUUUAGUGGGGAUGAAAAGCACAUUGCUAAUACCAGUGUGUCUUGACCUAACCCAAAGAAAAAGCACCGGCUAACUCUGUGCCAGCAGCCGCGGUAAUACAGAGGGUGCGAGCGUUAAUCGGAAUUACUGGGCGUAAAGCGUGCGUAGACGGUUAUUUAAGUCGGGUGUGAAAGCCCCGGGCUCAACCUGGGAAUUGCAUUCGAGACUGAAUAGCUAGGGUACGGUAGAGGGAAGUGGAAUUUCCGGUGUAGCGGUGAAAUGCGUAGAUAUCGGAAGGAACAUCAGUGGCGAAAGCGACUUCCUGGACCAGUACCGACGUUCAGGCACGAAAGCGUGGGGAGCAAACAGG
rnacentral:rRNA from 1 species